UUAGAUUUUAUUUAUUAAUUUUAUUUAUUUAUUUAAUUUAUUUAAUAAAAAUAAUUUUAAAAUUUUAAGUUUUAGUAUUUUAUAAAGAAAAAAUAAUUUUAAUUAUAGUUUAUUUGUAUUGUAAAAGAAAAUUGAAAUAAUUUGAAAAAUUUUUAUUUUAAAAGAAAAUUUAAUUUAUUGUACCUUGUGUAUCAGGGUUUAUUAAAUAAAAAAUUAUUAUAUUAAUUUUUCUCGAAUUUUAAAGAUUUAAUUAUAUAUAAAAGUUACUGUGGAAUAAUUAUUUUUAAUAUAUAAUUAGAAAUGAAAUGUUAAUCGUUUUAAAAUAUAUCUAGUUUUUUAAGAAAUAAAUUUAAUUUAGACUUAUAAAUUUAAAUUAUUUAAUUAAUAUAAAUAAUUUAAUUUAUAAGAUUAAUAUUUUAAGGGAUUAGCUUUAAAAUAAAUUUUUAAAUUUUAAAUUAAUUAUUUAAUAAAUAUAAGCUUAAAAAUAGCUAUUAUUAAUAAAUUUGUUAUAAUUUAUUUUAAAAAUUUAAUUAUUUAUUAUAAAAUUAAAUUAUUUAUUAAAAUAUAAAUUUUAAUAAUAAAAAUUUAUAAAUUAUGAUAAAAUUAGUAUAUAAAAUUUUUAUAAAUAAUUAUUUAUGAAAGGUUUAAAUAAGGAAUUCGGCAAAAUAUAUAUUCACCUGUUUAUCAAAAACAUGUCUUUUUGAAUUAAAUUUAAAGUCUAACCUGCCCACUGAUAUAAAUUAAAGGGCCGCAGUAUUUUGACUGUGCGAAGGUAGCAUAAUCACUAGUCUUUUAAUUGGAGGCUUGUAUGAAUGGUUGAAUGAGAUAUAUACUGUCUUUUUUAAAAUUAUAUAGAAUUUUAUUUUUUAAUUAAAAAGUUAAAAUAAAAUUAAAGGACGAGAAGACCCUAUAGAUCUUUAUUUUUGUUAUUUAUAAAUUAAAAAGAAUUUUAAAAUUUAUAAUUUAAUAAAAAAUUUUAUUGGGGUGAUAUUAAAAUUUAAAAAACUUUUAAAAUUUAUUAACAUAAAUAUAUGAAUAAAUGAUCCAGUUUUAUUGAUUAAAAAUUUAAGUUACCUUAGGGAUAACAGCGUAAUUUUUUUUUAGAGUUCAUAUCGACAAAAAAGAUUGCGACCUCGAUGUUGGAUUAAGAGUUAUUUUUAGGUGUAGAAGUUUAAAGUUUAGGUCUGUUCGACCUUUGAAUUCUUACAUGAUCUGAGUUCAAACCGGCGUAAGCCAGGUUGGUUUCUAUCCUUAAUUAAUUAUUAUGUUAUAGUACGAAAGGACCUAAUAUAAGAAAUAUAAAUUUUAAUAAUAUGAUUAAUAUUAAUAUUAG
rnacentral:rRNA from 1 species